UCACAUUGGCGUUGUUGGGGCUCACAUUGGGGUUCACUUUGGGGCUCACGUUGGUGUUGUUGGGGCUCAUGUUGGGGUUCACUUUGGGGUUCACAUUGGCGUUGUUGGGGCUCACGUUGGGGUUCACUUUGGGGUUCACAUGGGUGUUGUUGGAGUUCACGUUGGGGCUCACAUUGGCGUUCACAUUGGCGUUGUUGGGGCUCAAAUUGGGCUUCAUUUUGGGGUUCACAUGGGCGUUGUUGGGGCUCACGUUGGGGUUCACUUUGGGGUUCACAUUGGCGUUGUUGGGGCUCACGUUGGGGUUCACGUUGGCGAGGUUCACAUUGGGGUUCACAUGGGUGUUGUUGGGGUUCACGUUGGGGUUCACGUUGGCGUUGAGGUUCACAUUGGGGUUCACGUUGGGCUUCCUCUUGGGGUUCACUUUGGGGCUCACAUGGGUGUUGUUGGGGCUCACGUUGGGCUUCAUUUUGGGGUUCACAUGGGUGUUGUUGGGGUUCAUGUUGGGCUUCAUUUUGGGGUUCACAUGGGUGUUGUUGGGGUUCACGUUGGCGUUGAGGUUCACAUUGGGGUUCACGUUGGGCUUCCUCUUGGGGUUCACUUUGGGGUUCACAUUGGCGUUGUUGGGGCUCACGUUGGGCUUCACUUUGGGGUUCACAUUGGCGUUGUUGGGGCUCACGUUGGGCUUCAUUUUGGGGUUCACAUGGGUGUUGUUGGGGUUCACGUUGGGCUUCAUUUUGGGGUUCACGUUGGCGUUGAGGUUCACAUUGGGGUUCACAUGGGUGUUGUUGGGGCUCACGUUGGGCUUCACUUUGGGGCUCACGUUGGUGUUGUUGGGGCUCAUGUUGGGCUUCAUUUUGAGGUUCACAUUGGCAUUGUUGGGGUUCAUGUUGGGCUUCAUUUUGGGGUUCACGUUGGCGUUGAGGUUCACAUUGGGGUUCACGUUGGGCUUCCUCUUGGGGUUCACUUUGGGGUUCACAUGGGUGUUGUUGGG
rnacentral:lncRNA from 1 species